GAUGAACGCUGGCGGCGUGCUUAAUACAUGCAAGUUGAACGAAGCACCUUGGACAGAAUCCUUCGGGAGGAAGACCAUUGUGACUGAGUGGCGGACGGGUGAGUAACGCGUGGGUAACCUGCCUUGUACAGGGGGAUAACAGUUGGAAGCGACUGCUAAUACCGCAUAAGCGCACAGUACCGCAUGGUACGGUGUGAAAAACUCCGGUGGUACAAGAUGGACCCGCGUCUGAUUAGCUGGUUGGUGAGGUAACGGCCCACAAAGGCGACGAUCAGUAGCCGACUUGAGAGAGUGAUCGGCCACAUUGGGACUGAGACACGGCCCAAACUCCUACGGGAGGCAGCAGUAGGGAAUAUUGCACAAUGGGGGAAACCCUGAUGCAGCGACGCCGCGUGAAGGAAGAAGUAUUUCGGUAUGUAAACUUCUAUCAGCAAGGAAGAAAAUGACGGUACUUGACUAAGAAGCCCCGGCUAAAUACGUGCCAGCAGCCGCCGUAACAC
rnacentral:rRNA from 1 species